rnacentral:lncRNA from 1 species
AACAGGUUCACACUGAAUGGCUGCUGGCAGAGGAGCUUUCAUGUCCUGAAACAACAAGAGGGUACAAAAGAACCACCCUGCAGAGCAGUAGCUUUGAGGGCCCUGUGGCAGGUGCAGCCAAAUCCCAGGAUCAACAGCCUGCUGCCUGCUCCUCCUCCUCUUUCCCCACACAGCUGCAGAGGCAGAUUCUCCUUCUGGCAGCUGCCACCACCGUGAGAAACAUAAGUCUGCAACGGCAAGCUGAGAGAUGCAAGGCGUCUUUAUCUUCAGAGUAUCUACCCUCAAGGGAGAAUAUCUCACACCUGUCACUCAGUCCAGAAUUUAAUGUAAGCUUAAAGAAGGCUUUGGGGAAACCCAUUUGCAGUAAAAGAACCUCCAGGUAUCCAGAGGUUCCUGCUACAAAUGACAGGCUGAUCUACUCGACACCAGGACCUUCAAAGUGUGGUCUGACCAAGCAAACCAAUUCUGAAAGAUCCACGAAGGACAAUGCCUAA